rnacentral:misc_RNA from 1 species
AAGUCGUAACAAGGUUUCCGUAGGUGAACCUGCGGAAGGAUCAUUAUAGAAUAUUCUUGAUGGGUUGUAGCUGGCUCUACGGGGCAUGUGCACACUUGUCUUGACUUUAUUCAUCCACCUGUGCACCUUUUGUAGUCUUGGGGGUUGAGAGCAGUCGACUAUCGGAUGGGCUAUGGCCUUUCCGGACGUGAGGAAUGCUGAGUGCGACAGCAUACAGCUCUUCUCAAAUGACUUGCGAAACCUCUCCCUCGAGUACUAUGUAUUCAUAUACCACAUAGUAUGUCGUAGAAUGUGAUCAAUGGGAUAAUCAUAUACAACUUUCAGCAACGGAUCUCUUGGCUCUC